rnacentral:rRNA from 1 species
GAACGCUGGCGGAAUGCUUUACACAUGCAAGUCGAGCGGCAGCAUGGACUUCGGUCUGAUGGCGAGCGGCGAACGGGUGAGUAACAUAUAGGAACAUACCCAGUAAUGGGGGAUAACUCCGAGAAAUCGGAGCUAAUACCGCAUACGCCCUGAGGGGAAAGCGGGGGAUCUUCGGACCUCGCGUUAUUGGAAUGGCCUAUAUCUGAUUAGCUAGUUGGUGAGGUAAAGGCUCACCAAGGCUUCGAUCAGUAGCUGGUCUGAGAGGAUGAUCAGCCACACUGGAACUGAGACACGGUCCAGACUCCUACGGGAGGCAGCAGUGGGGAAUUUUGGACAAUGGGCGAAAGCCUGAUCCAGCCAUUCCGCGUGAGUGAAGAAGGCCUUCGGGUUGUAAAAGCUCUUUCGGCAGGAAAGAAAUCAUUACUCCUAAUACGAGUGAUGGAUGACGGUACCUGAAGAAGAAGCACCGGCUAACUACGUGCCAGCAGCC